rnacentral:rRNA from 1 species
GUUGAGAGACUCUACGGCCACAUUGGGACUGAGAUACGGCCCAGACUCCUACGGGAGGCAGCAGUCGGGAAUAUUGCGCAAUGGAGGAAACUCUGACGCAGUGACGCCGCGUGCGGGAAGAAGGUUUUCGGAUUGUAAACUGCUUUAGACAGGGAAGAAAAAGACAGUACCUGUAGAAUAAGUUCCGGCUAACUACGUGCCAGCAGCCGCGGUAAUACGUAGGGAGCAAGCGUUAUCCGGAUUUAUUGGGUGUAAAGGGUGCGUAGACGGGAAAAUAAGUUAGUUGUGAAAUCCCCAUGCUUAACAUGGGAACUGCAACUAAAACUGUUUUUCUUGAGUGCUGGAGAGGAAAGUGGAAUUCCUAGUGUAGCGGUGAAAUGCGUAGAUAUUAGGAGGAACACCAGUGGCGAAGGCGACUUUCUGGACAGUAACUGACGUUGAGGCACGAAAGUGUGGGGAGCAAACAGGAUUAGAUACCCUGGUAGUCCACACCGUAAACGAUGGAUACUAGGUGUAGGGUGUGAUAAACGCUCUGUGCCGUCGCAAACGCAGUUAGUAUCCCACCUGGGGAGUACGGCCGCAAGGUUGCAACUCAAAGGAAUUGACGG